GUGCCCGUAGCUCAGCGGAGAGAGCGCCUGCCUACGAAGCAGGAGGCCGAAGGUUCGAAUCCUUUCGGGCAUACCA
rnacentral:tRNA from 1 species